rnacentral:tRNA from 1 species
GGAGAGUUGGCUGAGUGGUUUAAAGCGUCAGAUUGCUAAUCUGUUGUAUGAUUUAUACAAUCAUACCGAGGGUUCGAAUCCCUUUCUCUCCU